ACGAACGCUGGCGGCGUGGAUAAGACAUGCAAGUCGAACGAGAGAAUUGCUAGCUUGCUAAUAAUUCUCUAGUGGCGCACGGGUGAGUAACACGUGAGUAACCUGCCCCCGAGAGCGGGAUAGCCCUGGGAAACUGGGAUUAAUACCGCAUAGUAUCGAAAGAUUAAAGCAGCAAUGCGCUUGGGGAUGGGCUCGCGGCCUAUUAGUUAGUUGGUGAGGUAACGGCUCACCAAGGCGAUGACGGGUAGCCGGUCUGAGAGGAUGUCCGGCCACACUGGAACUGAGACACGGUCCAGACACCUACGGGUGGCAGCAGUCGAGAAUCAUUCACAAUGGGGGAAACCCUGAUGGUGUGACGCCGCGUGGGGGAAUGAAGGUCUUCGGAUUGUAAACCCCUGUCAUGUGGGAGCAAAUUAAAAAGAUAGUACCACAAGAGGAAGAGACGGCUAACUCUGUGCCAGCAGCCGCGGUAAUACAGAGGUCUCAAGCGUUGUUCGGAAUCACUGGGCGUAAAGCGUGCGUAGGCUGUUUCGUAAGUCGUGUGUGAAAGGCGCGGGCUCAACCCGCGGACGGCACAUGAUACUGCGAGACUAGAGUAAUGGAGGGGGAACCGGAAUUCUCGGUGUAGCAGUGAAAUGCGUAGAUAUCGAGAGGAACACUCGUGGCGAAGGCGGGUUCCUGGACAUUAACUGACGCUGAGGCACGAAGGCCAGGGGAGCGAAAGGGAUUAGAUACCCCUGUAGUCCUGGCAGUAAACGGUGCACGCUUGGUGUGCGGGGAAUCGACCCCCUGCGUGCCGGAGCUAACGCGUUAAGCGUGCCGCCUGGGGAGUACGGUCGCAAGAUUAAAACUCAAAGAAAUUGACGGGGACCCGCACAAGCGGUGGAGUAUGUGGCUUAAUUCGAUGCAACGCGAAGAACCUUACCUGGGCUUGACAUGUAAUGAACAACAUGUGAAAGCAUGCGACUCUUCGGAGGCGUUACGCAGGUGCUGCAUGGCCGUCGUCAGCUCGUGUCGUGAGAUGUUUGGUUAAGUCCAGCAACGAGCGCAACCCCUGUUGCCAGUUACCAGCACGUGAAGGUGGGGACUCUGGCGAGACUGCCCAGAUCAACUGGGAGGAAGGUGGGGACGACGUCAGGUCAGUAUGGCCCUUAUGCCCAGGGCUGCACACGUACUACAAUGCCCAGUACAGAGGGGGCCGAAGCCGCGAGGCGGAGGAAAUCCUGAAAACUGGGCCCAGUUCGGACUGUAGGCUGCAACCCGCCUACACGAAGCCGGAAUCGCUAGUAAUGGCGCAUCAGCUACGGCGCCGUGAAUACGUUCCCGGGUCUUGUACACACCGCCCGUCACAUCAUGGAAGCCGGUCGCACCCGAAGUAUCUGAAGCCAACCGCAAGGAGGCAGGGUCCUAAGGUGAGACUGGUAACUGGGAUG
rnacentral:rRNA from 1 species